rnacentral:rRNA from 1 species
UACGAGAGGCCCAAACGUUAUUCGGAUUUACUGGGCUUAAAGAGUUCGUAGGCGGCGCGGAAAGUAGGGUGUGAAAGCCCUCGGCUCAACCGAGGAAUUGCGCUCUAAACUACCGUGCUCGAGGAAGCUAGAGGUGAGCGGAACUGAUGGUGGAGCGGUGAAAUGCGUUGAUAUCAUCAGGAACACCGGAGGCGAAGGCGGCUCACUGGGGCUUUUCUGACGCUGAGGAACGAAAGCCAGGGGAGCGAACGGGAUAGAAACC